GAGUUUGAUCAUGGCUCAGAGUGAACGCUGGCGGCGUGCUUAACACAUGCAAGUCGAACGAGAACGGAUUAUAGCUUGCUAUAAUUGUCAGCUAAGUGGCAGCACGGGUGAGUAAUAUAUAGUUAACCUGCCCUCAAGAAAGGAAUAACAGUUGGAAACGACUGCUAAUGCCCUAUAUGCCUUUAAUACAUAAGUAUGCAAGGGAAACGCUUUAGUNGCUUGAGGAUGGGACUGUAUGGUAUCAGUUAGUNUGGUGAGGUAAUGGCUCACCAAGACUAUGACGCCUAACUGGUC
rnacentral:rRNA from 1 species